UACGAAGGGUGCAAGCGUUACUCGGAAUUACUGGGCGUAAAGCGUGCGUAGGUGGUCUGUUAAGUCUGAUGUGAAAUCCCCAGGCUUAACCUGGGAACUGCAUCCGAUACUGGAUGGCUUGAAUUCGGGAGAGGGAUGCAGAAUUCCAGGUGUAGCGGUGAAAUGCGUAGAUAUCUGGAGGAAUACCGGUGGCGAAGGCGGCAUCCUGGACCGACAUUGACGCUGAGGAGCGAAAGCUAGGGGAGCAAACGGG
rnacentral:rRNA from 1 species